GCCGUUUGAAGGUCGCGCGCUUGUAGAGCGGAAAGAGCUGGAAGAAGAGCUUGAUCUUCAGCCAGCGGCCGUAGAUCCCGUAAGGCUCGAACAGGAUAAACAGCAUGAUGAUCAGGCCGUAGAUCGCGCCCUUCAGUCCGUUGGCCGAGGCGAUCGCCGCAACAUUCGCCUUGAUAUGCGCNCUGCUCGGCGCCCGCACCGAAUGUCGCGGCAAGUCCGGCGAUCACGCCGGGAAUAUCAUCC
rnacentral:misc_RNA from 1 species